GACGAACGCUGGCGGCGUGGAUUAGGCAUGCAAGUCGAACGGUAUCAUCCUUUCGGGGGUGAGAGAGUGGCGAACUGGUGAGUAACACGUAGGUUAUCUACCCUCAAGACGGGGACAACCCAGGGAAACUUGGGCUAAUACCGGAUGUGAGCAACUUUUAGUUGUUUGAAAGGUGGCGUAAGCUGUCGCUUGGGGAUGAGCCUGCGUCCUAUUAGUUAGUUGGUGAGGUAACGGCUCACCUAGGCAAUGAUAGGUAGGCGGCCUUAACGGGUGGUCGCCCACACUGGGAUUGAGAUACGGCCCAGACUCCUACGGGAGGCAGCAGUCGAGAAUAGUCUACAAUGGUCGGAAGACUGAUAGUGCGACGCCGCGUGAACGAUGAAUCCCUUCGGGGUGUAAAGUUCUUUUAUAUGUGAGCAGUGCUUCUUAUAUUAACAGUAUGGGGAGAGAGAUAUUAGCAUAUGAAUAAGCAACGGCUAAACUCCGUGCCAGCAGCCGCGGUAAACUCGU
rnacentral:rRNA from 1 species